rnacentral:sRNA from 1 species
GUAAACCCGCGCUAGGGAUUGUAGCGGCAUCCUUUUUUUGAAAGAUGAAAAACACACCUUAUUAAGAACUCUAACUUAGCAGAUAGCCGCGUCGUUCCUCCUCGCUAUGACGUAUAAAAAAGAUAUAGCGGAAAGCCCGACCCUUG